ensembl:lncRNA
AGUCCCAGGCUAGGGGUCUAAUAGGAGCUACAGCUGCAGGCCUAUGCCAGAGCCACAGCAACCCCAGAUUCGAGCUGCAUCUUCAACCUACACCACAGCUCAUGGCAAUACCGGAUCCUCAACCCAUUGAGCCAGACCAGGGAUCGAACCCGAAACCUCAUGGUUCCUAGUCGGAUUCAUUUCCACUGUGCCACAACAGGAACUCCAGAAAAUAUUUUAAAAGUUCUUUGAGACUUUUCUUUUUAGCCCACCUUUUAUAUAGAAGUGUGUUGUUUAAUCUCCAAGCAUUUGGAGGGCUUUCCAGAUCUCUUUCUUUCUUUUUUGUCUUUUGGUCUUUUUAGGGACACGCCCAUGGUGUGUGAAGGUUCCCAGGCUAGGGGUCGAAUCGGAGCUGUAGCUGCCGGCCUACGCCAGAGACAUAGCAACGCCAGAUCCAAACAAUGUCUGCGACCUACACCACAGCUUACAGCAAUGCCGGAUCCUUAAUCCACCGAGCAAAGCCAGGGGUCGAACCAACAACCUCAUGGUUCCUAGUUGGAUUCGUUUCCGCUGCGCCAUGACGGGAACUCCCAGAUCUCUUUCUUGUUUUAAAUGUUAUAGAAGUAUAGUUGAUUUACAAUGCUGUGUUAAUUUCUGCUGUACAGCAAAGUGGCUCAGUAAUAUGUAUAUACAUUUCACACAUAUUUUUUUCUGUUAUGGUUUAUCGCAGAAGAUUGGAUAUAGCUGCCUAUGCUAUACAGUAGGACCUAGUUGUUUAUCCAUCCUAUAUGUACUAGUUUGCCUCUGCUAAUCCCUAACUCCCUUCCCCACCCCAGAUCUCUUUCUGUUACUCAAUUCUAGUUUAAUCCCAUAUGGUCUGGGCGUAGGCAGAGGUCAUCUGGCCCCCGAGUGUUACAGGGCAGAGCUGUGUUCCUGGGUAUUGACAGCUCUUUAUCUGAAGCCACUGAACUGAGCCCAACUAUAAAUUUAAUCUGGAAGGAUCAAUCUUCUAAAAGGGACCAAAUCUCCACCUCUCUAUGUUUUAAACAGAUUUAUUCAAUUUAAAAUAAAAGGUUUAGUGUUCAGUAAAGGAAAACCUAGCAGACUUCUGUUUAACAAGCCAGAGGUCUAAAUGUACUAAGUUGUGCGGACUUCAGAUAAAUUCCCUUUUUGAAUUUUUUUUUUUCUUUUGGCUUUUUAGGGCUGCACCUGCAGCAUAUGGAAGUUCCCAGGCGAGGGGUCAAAUUGGAGCUGUAGCUGCCAGCUUAUACCACAACUCACGGCAAUGCCAGAUCCUUAACCCGCUGAUCGAGGCCAGGGAUCAAACCCGUGUCCUCAUGGAUACUAGUCAGGUUCAUUUCCGCUGAGCCACAAUGGGAACUUCUCCCUUUUGGAAUUUUUUUAUUGUGGUAAAAUAUAUCUAACAUACAAUUUACCUUCUCAACCAUUUUUAGGUGUCCAGUUCAGUGGCAUUAAGUUCAUUCACACUGCUGUGCAUCACCACCAUUCCUCUCCAGAACUUUCUCAUUAGCCCAAACUGAAGCUCUGUCCCCAUUAACCACUGGCUCCCACCUCCCGCAGCCCCAGCGCCCACCCUCCUCCUUACUGCCUCUGUGGAUUUGACUGCUCUAGGGCCUUCAUACAUGUGGAAUCCUACAACAUUUGUCUCUUUGUGAUGGUCAGAAGUUCCUUUCUUUUUAACUCUCUAAAUUUUUAUUUCUUCAUUUUGUUUCAAAUUAAAAUGACAACAGUCCAAAUCAGUCCUCAUUCAGCAGACGUGCGUGUUGUGGGGAGGUGACCUAAAGGCAGGGCCCUGGCGUCCCCAGAGGCUGCAGCCUGUGCAAGGGUGGUCAUUUGGACAAGGAGCUCAGACCUCAGUAUUGACCGAGGCUGAGAAGGAGCAGAGCAUCAUUUAGUUUUCUUUGCCAAAAGAGAGUCUAAAUUGUGCUGAAUCAGAGCAACUGUAAACAUUGUUUGCUUUUAGAUAUUUCACUUUAUCUGCCAGGCUCUGAGAUAAUGAGCCUGUAUUGUGGAGUUGUGCUGCUGAGAAAUAAAUACAGAUGAGUUGGCAAGUCCAUAAACAAAAGAUUUUAGGCCUUCCUCAUCUAGAAGGAGACAAUUCAUAUAAACUGUGGCUUGUACUGCAUUACACAAAUCUUUAAAUAAAGCAGGUGUUAAUUAGUGCAAGGAAAUUUUUGGUCUACGGGAAAAGGCAAUGCUUUCUUCUUGUACCUUAUAAUAUUCUACUAUAUAUACUUUUUCAUAUAACAUUUUCUAAGUACAGGUCUCCUGAAGGUUUCUUUUUUUUUCCUUUUUAGGGCCAAACCCACGGCAUAUGGAAGUUCCCAAGCUAGGGGUCGAAUUAGAGCUGCAGUUGCUAGCCUGCACCACAGCCACAGCAACACUGGGUCCUUAAUCCACUCACGGAUACUAGUCGGGUUCGUAACCCAAUGAGCCAAGAUGGGAACUCCAGGACUUCAGUUUUAAAAGCUCAACCUGGUAAACCAACUAUAAUGGAAAAAAUAAAAAUCAUUAAAAAAAUUUUAAAAAAAGUAUUGUGAAAAGGGAGUUCCCGUUGUUUCAGCAGAAAUGAAUCCGACUAGCAUCUAUAAGGACGAAGGUUUGAUCCCUGGCCUCGCUCAGUGGGUUAAGGAUCUGCCGUUUCUGUGAGCUGUGGUGUAGGUCGCAGACGCAGCUUGGAUCCCACACUGCUGUGGCUCUGGUGUAGGCUAGCAGCUAAGGCUCCAAUUCGACCCCUAGCCUGGGAACUUCCAUAUGCGGGUGCGGCCCUAAAAAUAAAAUUAAAAAAAAAAAUUUAAAAAAAGAAGUAUUGUGAAAACAUGCUACAUAACCAUGCUCUUUUUUUCCAAGUAGCAAGACAGACAGUCUUCUGAAAAAAAUAACUCAGACAUCACAUCUGCCAAUAUCCUCCACAAAGCAACAAGCCCAGAGAAUUUCAGCAACUUGCUGAUGGGCACAGAGCCAGGACACCACCCCUUUCUCCGAAUCCAAUAGGCUCUCAUAAGAAGGUUUUCAAGGACAGGAGAAAAUAUGGAACAAAACAGAAAUAUACUGGAAUAAGGGAAAUCUAAAUUGUUGUGCUGAGCAUCAUAGUACAGUGGGACAUGUAAAUAAAAAAAAAAUUUUUUUGGCCACAUCAGCAGCAUGUGCAAGUUCCUGGGCCAGGAGUUAAACUGGAUCCACAGCGAAAACACCAGAUCCCUAACCCACUGCACCACCAGGGAAUUCCUAUUAAGACUGAGGAGAGAGGGAAUCGUGAUAGAAUUAAAUACUGACACCAAAUAGAAAGAAGCCCUCAGACGUGGCCCUGAAAUAGUCCAGAAACAAGCAGUUUACACAGAAGGGAUUUCCUGAUCCAUGAAGGACACCACAGCAGCCAGGAGGGAGGUGCUUGGGGAGGGUAAUUUUACUCUAGUCUUGCUCAAACCUACAGUGGCCCUCGUACAUUAGUGGAGAGAAUGCAAAAUGGCGCAGUCACUGUGGAAAACAGUUUUGACUGUUCCUCCAAAAGUUAAACAUGUAACUACUGUAAGACCCAGUAAUUCCACUUCUAGGUAUAAACCAAAAGAAUGAAAAACAGAGACUCAAACAGACACCUGUAUGCCAGUGUUCACUGAAGCCUUAUUCACAACAGCUGAAAGGUAGAAAAAACCCAAGCGUCCAUCAACAGAUGAUGGAUAAACAAAAUGCGAUUCAAUGGAAUAUUACUCCAUCAUAAAA